GAUGAAGAACGCAGCGAAAUGCGAUAAGUAAUGUGAAUUGCAGAAUUCAGUGAUUCAUCGAAUCUUUGAACGCACAUUGCGCCCCUUGGUAUUCCGAGGGGCAUGCCUGUUCGAGCGUCAUUAUAACCCCUCAAGCUCAGCUUGGUGUUGGGGCCUGCUGCACUGGCAGCCCUUAAAAUCAGUGGCGGCGCCAUCUGGCUCUAAGCGUAGUAAUUCUUCUCGCUAUGGAGUCCUGGUGGAUGCUUGCCAUCAACCCCCAAUUUUUCUAUGGUUGACCUCGGAUCAGGUAGGGAUACCCGCUGAACUUAAGCAUAUCAAUAAGCGGAGGA
rnacentral:misc_RNA from 1 species